rnacentral:misc_RNA from 2 species
CCCCCCCCGUCACACCAUGGAAGCUGGUAGUGCCCGAAGUCGUUACUCUAACCUUUCGAGGGAGAGGAUGCCGAAGGCAGGACUGGUGACUGGGGUGAAGUCGUAACAAGGUAGCCGUACCGGAAGGUGUGGCUGGAUCACCUCCUUUUAGGGAGACCAACCGUUCAGCGAACAGUGACCAGUGAGCAGUGACCAGUGAAAGAUGGUCACUGAAAACAGGAAAUAAAUGGGAACUGAAAGGACAUCCCUGGUCGAGCGAGGAAGAAAAAUGGCUUUCAAACUGAUGAUGGGUUCGUGAAAAUAGCAAGUGAGUUUUGUCAAAAAAGAAACUCCGGGAAGAAAUUCAGCAACUUGUUCUGCAACAGACAAGACUGCUGGAAGAGAUUCCAGUUUUGAACCUUGAAAACUGCAUAGAAACGCGAAGUAACUCAAGAGUUAGUGGAUAGUAGUUAGUGGUUAGUGGUUAGUAGAAAAAACUAACAAUUAACAAAUAACAGCUAACAAUUAACAAAGAGCAUAGUGGUCAAGUUAAUUAGGGCUAAUGGUGGAUACCUAGGCACACAGAGA